rnacentral:rRNA from 1 species
UACAGAGGUCCCGAGCGUUGUUCGGAUUCACUGGGCGUAAAGGGUGCGUAGGUGGCUUGAAAAGUUUGAUGUGAAAUCUCCGGGCUUAACCCGGAAAUGGCAUUGAAUACUAUUGAGCUGGAGGUUUGGAGGGGGGACUGGAAUUCUCGGUGUAGCAGUGAAAUGCGUAGAUAUCGAGAGGAACACCAGUGGCGAAGGCGAGUCCCUGGACAACACCUGACACUGAGGCACGAAAGCGUGGGGAGCGAACAGG